UAACUUUGUCCUAAGUCAAACUUACUAAAGUUUGACCAACUUUAUAGAAAAAUAUAUCAACAUCUAGAAUAUCAAAUAAGUAAAAUAUUAAAAUAUAUAUCAUGAUGGGUCUAAUAAACUAAUUUGGAGUCGUAGAUGUUGGUAGAUUUUUCUAUAAACUUGAUCAAACUUUAAGAAGUUUGACUUAAGACAAAGCUAG
rnacentral:pre_miRNA from 1 species